UACGGAGGGUGCAAGCGUUGUCCGGAAUCACUGGGCGUAAAGGGCGCGUAGGCGGCCCGGUAAGUAGGGGGUGAAAUCCUGCGGCUUAACCGCAGGGCUGCCUUCUAAACUGUCGGGCUCGAGCACGGUAGAGGCAGGCGGAAUUCCGGGUGUAGCGGUGGAAUGCGUAGAGAUCCGGAAGAACACCGGUGGCGAAGGCGGCCUGCUGGGAUCUUGCUGACGCUGAGGCGCGACAGCGUGGGGAGCAAACAGG
rnacentral:rRNA from 1 species